GCUCUCCAUGCCAAUAAAUGUUGGCUUUUGAACGUGUGCAGUUUCGUGAAAGGACUGGGCACUCCCUGUUUUUUUCAGCCCUUUUUUUUUUUCCACUUGGACAGUGAAAACAAAAAAGAAAAGAGAAACCCGCUACAUCUAAGAAGACCAGACCUGCUCCUCCAGGUAGAUGUCAAAAGACUUGAAGCAUCAAACCCUCAGGCCAAUACAUCGACGGUCGGGGGUUGAGGGGUUACAAGUCCCAGGAGGUGUCAAGCUCAUUACCCCAGAGUGGAUCAACCCAGCCCAAGGGGCUCUCUGAGUAUUUAGGAUUCCCUCUGCCUUUGUUUUGCUGAGCCCCACGCUUCACCGAGGGAGACUUCUGACCUCCGAGCUCCGCGGCUGACUGAGCAUUGACGUGUUAAUUGGCUGCGUAACAUCACACCAGACUGUGAUAUACUGCCAUGUAAAAUGAGAAGAAACACGUUGUAAAGAGAGAAAUGAUGCAAAUUGUUCAAGCUUACCUAGUUUAGCAAAACACUGCGUUCACCGUGUACACGCUGCAAAAUCGAGGCAUAUAUUAAGUUCUGAAGAACCUCCUUUAACAGGACAAACAGCUUUACAGGCGUCUCGCCACUUAUUCCAAGGAAGCUGUCUGCCUCUGCCGUUUCAAGAAGCUAUGUUAUCCCAUCAAUUACAAUGAGCUGUGGAGGAGACCAAUGCUCCCUCACAAAUUAAUGGAUGCUUUAAGAGCUUAGAGGCUUGACAAUCAAUUGAAAAGUUAAAAGACCAAAGAAAAAUCCCCACUGGGUCAUUUAACAGCUACACCGGUACAAGGCUCUCUGGUCUUUCGAG